AUUGAACGCUGGCGGCAUGCCUUACACAUGCAAGUCGAACGGCAGCACGGGAGCAAUCCUGGUGGCGAGUGGCGAACGGGUGAGUAAUGUAUCGGAACGUACCUUUCAGUGGGGGAUAACGUAGCGAAAGUUACGCUAAUACCGCAUAUUCUGUGAGCAGGAAAGCAGGGGAUCGCAAGACCUUGCGCUGAUUGAGCGGCCGAUAUCAGAUUAGCUAGUUGGUGAGGUAAAGGCUCACCAAGGCGACGAUCUGUAGCGGGUCUGAGAGGAUGAUCCGCCACACUGGAACUGAGACACGGUCCAGACUCCUACGGGAGGCAGCAGUGGGGAAUAUUGGACAAUGGGGGCGAACCCUCGAUCCAGCCAUGCGCCGUGUGUGAGAAAGGCNCGUGUAGUAGAUACGUA
rnacentral:rRNA from 1 species